CAAGUCAUCAUGGCCCUUACGACCAGGGCUACACACGUGCUACAAUGGCGCAUACAAAGAGAAGCGACCUCGCGAGAGCAAGCGGACCUCAUAAAGUGCGUCGUAGUCCGGAUUGGAGUCUGCAACUCGACUCCAUGAAGUCGGAAUCGCUAGUAAUCGUGGAUCAGAAUGCCACGGUGAAUACGUUCCCGGGCCUUGUACACACCGCCCGUCACACCAUGGGAGUGGGUUGCAAAAGAAGUAGGUAGCUUAACCUUCGGGAGGGCGCUUACCACUUUGUGAUUCAUGACUGGGGUGAAGUCGUAACAAGGUAACCGUAGGGGAACCUGCGGUUGGAUCACCUCCUUACCUUAAAGAAGC
rnacentral:rRNA from 1 species